GACACCAUAGCCAAGUGGUUACGGCGACAGAUUAGAAUUCGUUCUACCAUCUGUUUCACUUUGUGAGCGCAGGUUCGAAUCCUGCUGGUGUCG
rfam:Coprinopsis cinerea okayama7#130 chromosome 1 cont3.1, whole genome shotgun sequence.